rnacentral:tRNA from 1 species
UAGGAUGUAGCUCAGUGGUAGAGUAUGUGCCUACCAAGCACAAUGUCCUGGACUCACUUCCUAA